UACAGAGGGUGCGAGCGUUAAUCGGAAUUACUGGGCGUAAAGCGUGCGUAGACGGUUAUUUAAGUCGGGUGUGAAAGCCCCGGGCUCAACCUGGGAAUUCCAUUCGAGACUGAAUAGCUAGGGUACGGUAGAGGGAAGUGGAAUUUCCGGUGUAGCGGUGAAAUGCGUAGAUAUCGGAAGGAACAUCAGUGGCGAAAUCGACUUCCUGGACCAGUACCGACGUUCAGGCACGAAAGCGUGGGGAGCAAACAGG
rnacentral:rRNA from 1 species